rnacentral:rRNA from 1 species
GAGAGCGUAUUUAUAUUUGAACCCGGCUGGGGAUAUAGUAAAAGCAAGAUCGAGUAUCAAGUGUAGAGUACACGAGCGGCGGACGGGUGAGUAACACGUGGGAAUCUACCCCAAACUGAGGGAUAAGCAUCGGAAACGGUGUCUAAUACCGCAUAUGGUCUUCGGAUUAAAGCUUUCGGCGGUUUGGGGAAGAGCCCGCGCAAGAUUAGCUAGUUGGUGAGGUAAUAGCUCACCAAGGCAACGAUCUUUAACUGGUUUGAGAGGAUGAUCAGUCACACUGGAACUGAGACACGGUCCAGACUCCUACGGGAGGCAGCAGUAAGGAAUUUCCACAAUGGGCGAAAGCCUGAUGGAGCAACGCCGCGUGCAGGAUGAAGGCCCUAGGGUUGUAAACUGCUUUUAUAUGUGACGAAUAUGACGGUAGCAUAUGAAUAAGGAUCGGCUAACUCCGUG